GACGAACGCUGGCGGCGUGCCUAAUACAUGCAAGUUGAGCGCUGAAGGUUGGUACUUGUACCAACUGGAUGAGCAGCGAACGGGUGAGUAACGCGUGGGGAAUCUGCCUUUGAGCGGGGGACAACAUUUGGAAACGAAUGCUAAUACCGCAUAAAAACUUUAAACACAAGUUUUAAGUUUGAAAGAUGCAAUUGCAUCACUCAAAGAUGAUCCCGCGUUGUAUUAGCUAGUUGGUGAGGUAAAGGCUCACCAAGGCGAUGAUACAUAGCCGACCUGAGAGGGUGAGCGGCCACAUUGGGACUGAGACACGGCCCAACCUCCUACGGGAGGCAGCAGUAGGGAAUCUUCGGCAAUGGACGAAAGUCUGACCGAGCAACGCCGCGUGAGUGAAGAAGGUUUUCGGAUCGUAAAACUCUGUUGGUAGAGAAGAACGUUGGUGAGAGUGGAAAGCUCAUCAAGUGACGGUAACUACCCAGAAAGGGACGGCUAACUACGUG
rnacentral:rRNA from 1 species